GAGAGGGGAGAAGGGCAGCCAGGCACGGAAGGGCAUCGCUCCCCUCUCAAUGUCACAGAUGUCUGUCACCCAGCAGUGGUGGCCACGGAGGUGUCGGCAUCUGGCCGGGUGUCAGGGCGAUUAACUGUGACAGCACCACUUUGCCGACGGACGCCGCCAAACCGCCCGGGUUUUCUUCCCCUCUGAUGGAAGGGAGGGCGGCGCGCGCCCUCACCUAGUGGUCCCAGUGCCCAGCCCUGUGUGCAUCCCAUUCCUGCGCUCCACAGCUUCCCCUGGGCCGAAAACGAAAAGGCUGCAAGUCACUCCUGCUUCCUUUUGGGACUAGGGACAUUUCCAAAGCACUGAUGCAGGCAGGAGUGGUGACAGGUAACCCACCCCCAAAAUGGUAUGGAGAAAUAUUACACCACUUUACUAAGGAAGUCUUUUUAAUUCCAGGUGAAACAAGAACGCCACUCUUCCUGCUCCUCAUGAGGGCUUUAGCUCUGACGUAACUUUCCAGCCAAGUCAGGCUUCCCCCUGCUGUUCUGUUCUGAACCAAAAUGGAAAAAGCCAAGCUUUCUUCACUUCUCCGAGGAGGGGAAGAGCUCCCAGACCAACAUCAGGAGUGACCUGUCACCAGGCUGGCAGCAAGACCCACAGAUGAAGGAAGAUGGGGAAUAACCACCUAUCCCCCAUUCUCUAGGAAAGGGAGGACUGGGAGGGACAACAAUGCAACCUCUCCAAUCCCAAUCUGUGUGAAGACUGUGCACACCGUUCCGCAUAAUCAAUCAGCUGGGAAGGUGGCACUGCAAAAGUGACUUUCCUUCCCUAGCCUGCAUGGAAAGGUAUCACCACCAGUGGAGGCAGACACUUGUGGCAUCAGUGCUGCCCAGACAUGACCAUGAAACUGUUUCCCACCAUCUAAGUCUUGCUGCAGGAACAACCAUAACAACUACCUCAGCAAGGAGUCAUCCCCCUGAACCCUCACCAGAGGAGUGCUGUGAUUCCUGCAUCCCUUCUCCUUCACUUCCAGGAAAGCUGCCUGACACACGCUGGACCCUCUUUCCCCAGGUCAGACUCUGCCAGGGCUUUUAUUUAAUGCUCUCUAACGUGCCUGGCUAGCUAGAUAGAUCAGCCUGACCACCAGAUAAAUAUUAUCAUCAAAGCACAAACCCUAGUCCUGUGUGAAGAGUCAUGCCUUCUGCCAUGCUCAGAGUCAUCACCAAGCUGCCUACGUGAGAUCUGCUGGUAUUUCUAACGUUCCCAUCACUGUGGUGCCCGGACAACCAACGGACAAAUAAGGACAGGACCGAAGGGCAGAUCUCACCGUGGAUCUGCCUGAGCACUUACACAGCCCACACCACCCAGCUAGGCAUUUUGAACUCCACACGGCGGCACGAACCCGAGCUGGGACCCAAGGCAAAUAUCGCCGAAGCAGCCUUUUGCAAUGUCAGGAGACCCGAGGCUGAUGCAAGAAGGCAGCGCGCUGCCUCCCUGCCCCGC